GUGGGGAAUUUUGGACAAUGGGCGCAAGCCUGAUCCAGCAAUGCCGCGUGCAGGAAGAAGGCCUUCGGGUUGUAAACUGCUUUUGUACGGAACGAAACGGUCCGGGUUAAUACCCUGGGCUAAUGACGGUACCGUAAGAAUAAGCACCGGCUAACUACGUGCCAGCAGCCGCGGUAAUACGCAGGGUGCAAGCGUUAAUCGGAAUUACUGGGCGUACAGCGUGCGCAGGCGGUUGUGUAAGACAGGCGUGAAAUCCGCGGGCUAGACCUGGGAAUUGCGCUUGUGACUGCAAGGCUGGAGUGCGGCAGAGGGGGAUGGAAUUCCGCGUGUAGCAGUGAAAUGCGGAGAUAUGCGGAGGAACACCGAUGGCGAAGGCAGUCCCCUGGGCCUGCACUGACGCUCAUGCACGAAAGCGUGGGGAGCAAACAGGAUUAGAAACCCCUGUAGUCC
rnacentral:rRNA from 1 species